AUUGAACGCUGGCGGCAGGCCUAACACAUGCAAGUCGAGCGAGCGGCGGACGGGUGAGUAAUGUCUGGGAGACAGCCCGAUGGGGGGGGAUAAAUACUGGAAACGGUAGCGAAUACAGCAUACGAUAAGAGGUGCGCAGAUGGGAUUAGAUCUUGGGUGGGGUAACGGCUCACCUAGGCGACGAUCCCUAGCUGGUCUGAGAGGAUGACCCGCCACACUGGAACUUAGACACGGUCCAGACUCCUACGGGAGGCAGCAGUGGGGAAUAUUGCACAAUGGGCGAAAGCCUGAUGCAGCCAUGCCGCGUGUGUGAAGAAGGCCUUCGGGUUGUAAAGCACUUUCAGCGGGGAGGCGUUACCCGCAGAAGAAGCACCGGCUAACUCCGUGCCAGCAGCCGCGGUAAUUC
rnacentral:rRNA from 1 species